rnacentral:rRNA from 1 species
GUGGACGGCCAAAGGAGCGUGGUUCAUCUGAUCCCAUCUCGAACUCAGAAAUUAAGAACGCUUCCGUAUCUUGGUGUAUUGCAUUAUGCGGGAAACUUGGUAAGCUGUCCACC